rnacentral:rRNA from 1 species
GCGCACCAGGCGCGAAUACUUUACAAUGUGCGAAAGCACGAUAAGGGAACUCUGAGUGCCUCCUAAGGAGGCUGUUCAGGUGUCUAAAAAGCACCUGGAGUAAGGGCUGGGUAAGACCGGUGCCAGCCGCCGCGGUAACACCGGCAGCCCAGGUGGUAGCCACUUUUAUUGGGUCUAAAGCGUCCGUAGCCGGUUGAGUAAGUUCCUUGGGAAAUUUGGCUGCUCAACAGUCAAGCUUCCAGGGAAUACUGCUCGACUUGGGGACUGGGAGAGGUCAGAGGUACUCCAGGGGUAGGGGUGAAAUCCAUUAAUCCCUGGGGGACCACCGGUAGCGAAGGCGUCUGACCAGACCAGGUCCGACGGUGAGGGACGAAGGCUAGGGGCGCGAACCGGAUUAGAUACCCG